AAUAGAGUGGCGUAGUGGUUUACGUAUUGGACUAUGACUCUCAAAACCAGGUUUCAAUUCCCAGCUUAGCCA